CAGGCAUACCGUCCAUCUUCAGAGGGACCUGUGAAGCAAAAUCACACCCAUUAAAUCCCAUCUACAGUCCAUACAGCUGAAAUGGAGAGGGGAGCAGAAACUGCUACAGAGUCAAGCUGCUGGUGAUGCUACUGAAGACGUGAUACAAGGAUGUCUGCCAGUCUUCCCUGGAAGGAACAAACCCAGUUAUCAUCAGCCAGUGUGGGUGAAACAAGAUUGAAGGAGCAUUUCUAAAUGUAGCCGAGGGAACAAGAUCCACUGUGCCAGAUGGCGUGCGUCAUCAUUGCAGCAGCGAGAGGAGUCAAAGUGCUUAAACAAGACUAUGACGGGGGGAGAAAAGGACACCGCUGGUUCACAGAGAGGAUCUCCUUCUGUCUCCCCCUCAUCCUUCUUAUCGUUCCUCCUUCUAUCUGCUCGUCCCAGAACUUCCAUCCGAUCAACCGCCUGGAGAAAAGCUAAUAACAG